rnacentral:tRNA from 1 species
GGAGAGUUGUCAGAGUCAGGCUUAUCGUGCUUCCCUGCUACGGAAGUGUGGGUAACACCACCAAGGGUUCAAAUCCCUUACUCUCCU